rnacentral:lncRNA from 1 species
UGCCUUUGGGUUUGGUCACACCACCCUUGGGCGCAGUGGGCUUUUUCUUGGGUUUACUUUUACCCUUACCCUUCUUCUUAGAAGAGUUUCCAACCAACUUGAUAGUUCCUUUCUUCUUCUCAGAUGCUAUUUGAUUCUCAUAAUCAAUCAAACAUGUUAAGCAUCUCGUGAAGAUCACAAUCCAUUUUAUUCAUAUUAAAAUUAAUAACAAAUUGUGAAAAGGAUUCUGGUAGUGACUGCAAAAUCAAAUCUUGAGAAAGUUCUUUACCCAGUUUGCACCCCGACUUCUCAAGUUCUUCAAUAAGAUCAAUCAUAUGAUUGACAUAGGGUCCAACUGGUG